rnacentral:rRNA from 1 species
GGGGAAUUUUCCGCAAUGGGCGCAAGCCUGACGGAGCAAGACCGCGUGCGGGACGAAGGCCUGUGGGUCGUAAACCGCUUUUGAUAGGGAAGAAUAACUGACGGUACCUAUCGAAUCAGCCUCGGCUAACUCCGUGCCAGCAGCCGCGGUAAUACGGAGGAGGCAAGCGUUAUCCGGAAUUAUUGGGCGUAAAGCGUCCGCAGGUGGUUGAGUAAGUCUGCUGUCAAAGCCCGAGGCUUAACCUUGGAGAGGCAGUGGAAACUACUGAACUAGAGUGUGGUAGGGGCAGAGGGAAUUCCCAGUGUAGCGGUGAAAUGCGUAGAUAUUGGGAAGAACACCGGUGGCGAAAGCGCUCUGCUGGGCCUGCACUGACACUGAGGGACGAAAGCUAGGGGAGCGAAAGGGAUUAGAUACCCCUGU